GGUGAAGCUCAGUGGUAGAGCACUUGCCUAGCAGGCGUGAGGCCCUGGGUUCCAUCCCCAGCAUCA
rnacentral:tRNA from 1 species